CAGUAGCCGCGGGAAUACGAAGGGUGCAAGCGUUACUCGGAAUUACUGGGCGUAAAGCGUGCGUAGGUGGUGGUUUAAGUCCGUUGUGAAAGCCCUGGGCUCAACCUGGGAAUUGCAGUGGAUACUGGGUCACUAGAGUGUGGUAGAGGAUAGUGGAAUUUCCGGUGUAGCGGUGAAAUGCGUAGAGAUCGGAAGGAACAUCUGUGGCGAAGGCGACUAUCUGGGCCAACACUGACACUGAGGCACGAAAGCGUGGGGAGCAAACAGGAUUAGAUACCCCCGUAGUCCCUGUCUCUUAUAC
rnacentral:rRNA from 1 species